AGGCGAAGAGAAUAGUCGUACGAGUAGGGCAUCAGUCGUCAGAGUUGCCGUUUUCUUUUGUUCUCCGGGGUCCCUUCCCGGAAAGUACACCGGAGCGGCCUCGAGUAGUCGUACGAGUCGUCACGGGUCCUCUCGGGGUCCCCCAAAAUGAGUCGUAUGAGUCGUAGAUAGUCGUGAGAGUUGGCACGGCGUGGCGGAGUGUGGCGUACUGCCCCCCCCCCCACCUCCUCUACCUAACUCCCCUCCCACAACUCCUCUCGGACUUGUGAUUUCGCGAGCCAAUCGUCGAAAAUUUUCUAAGUGUCGGUCAAAAUUUGUCACUUCCCAUGCCAAGUUGACUGGACGUUUCCAGUAGUUGUGAACACCAUAUCAAAAGAUGGGAACACAUUUUUUUGGUAACUUUAUGCACUUGGGUUGGACUUAGCCAUUUUCGUGCGUCUCCCCACUACCCUUAUUUAUUUCUAAAUGUCACCAAAAUUAUUAAACAUCUCAUGUAACGUUGUCUGGGUGUGUCGCGUUAUGGUAAACAACAUAUCAAAAGGUAGAAAACUUUUUGGCGCAAUGUGCUCUUACAAGUUUACGCUUCGCUGUACGUUUAAAUUCGCGCGAUUCACGCGCGCUUCACCCGGAAAACUGGCAGGACGGAAGCCGGCCGGCAGCCGCAGCCUAACCUGCAACUUGGCCAUGUGCUUGUCGUGUUGUUUGUAAACAGAGUCAGUAUUUUCUCAGAUUUUUGUAGUUUUUAACAAUUUCUCAAAGUUUGAGUUAUUUUCCCUUAUUCACUUGGGUAUAGUGAGUUAGUAGAAAUGUUAGCAAAGCGAUUGAAAAGACCGAAUUGUUUAAAACAAAUCAAAUCUGAAAGCCAACCCCCUGCAACUCUCAAGAGAAGUUUUCUUCCAAUCUUUUCACACAACUUUGUAAUAGUCAAGGCUACCCUCAGUUAUUUUAGUGGUUUUAGUAUUGAGUGCAUUUCAAGAAACAACAUGCAGAGAAAAGUGUUGAACUUCUGUGUGGACCCAACCUGAUCUACACUCUGGCAGUCACAAGGGUAUCGACCUGCUAAACUUUUCAAACAACAUGAAGCGGCCCAGCCAGUAUGAAAGAUGAGACCAACUUUAUGAAAAUAGCUAUCAUCAAAGGUACCAGUUCUAUCUAUCAAGAAAGUCCAUACUUCUGCGAUUAUUUUUAAUUUUUUUAGCCACUCCUUACAACAGGAAUAUUUGUGCUUCUACACUUAACCUUUUGUAUACCUAGACAACUUCUGUAUUGAUCUGUUGUUCGAUUUAUCAAUAAAUAUGUUAAUUUUGUUUUAA